rnacentral:rRNA from 1 species
CAGCCGCCGCGGGAAUACGGAGGGUGCAAGCGUUAAUCGGAAUUACUGGGCGUAAAGCGCACGCAGGCGGUUUGUUAAGUCAGAUGUGAAAUCCCCGAGCUUAACUUGGGAACUGCAUUUGAAACUGGCAAGCUAGAGUCUUGUAGAGGGGGGUAGAGUUCCAGGUGUAGCGGUGAAAUGCGUAGAGAUCUGGAGGAGUACCGGUGGCGAAGGCGGCCCCCUGGACAAAGACUGACGCUCAGGUGCGAAAGCGUGGGGAGCAAACAGGAUUAGAUACCCGAUAGUCCCUGUCUCUUAUACC